UGCUGAGUUGGACAAGAGGAUCGAGG
rnacentral:piRNA from 2 species